rnacentral:rRNA from 1 species
UACGGAGGGUGCAAGCGUUAAUCGGAAUUACUGGGCGUAAAGCGCACGCAGGCGGUUUGUUAAGUCAGAUGUGAAAUCCCCCGGGCUCAACCUGGGAACUGCAUCUGAUACUGGCAAGCUUGAGUCUCGUAGAGGGGGGUAGAAUUCCAGGUGUAGCGGUGAAAUGCGUAGAGAUCUGGAGGAAUACCGGUGGCGAAGGCGGCCCCCUGGACGAAGACUGACGCUCAGGUGCGAAAGCGUGGGGAGCAAACAGGAUUAGAUACCCCCGUAGU